CUUGUGUGGUUGUGUUUGAUACGCACCACAUAGCGGUUGUGAUUUAUUUCCGCACCGCAUUGCUUUGACGCUUAUGCUGCUGGAUUCCUGGCUUUGCUGGAUGUUAGAUUACGUGAAGUUUCUUAGUUCUGCUUACGCUUGCUAGCUCACUGCGGAUUUGCUAUCCGCUUGAGAUGUGGAUGGCUUAAUGGUAAUCUUAAGCGGUUAAGUGAGGGCAUAAUGGGAAGAUUGUAUUAGAGGUCUAAGGGCCAUAUUUGGGAAAACAAGGAAAAGUGAAAACAUAAUUUUUGCGGAACCGAUCGUAGAAGUGAGAAGAGGAGAGAAGAGGCUAGGGCACAAAGGGGAAGAGGAGAAAUCAAUAGAACGAGAAGAAGCAGAGCUUUUUGCUAAAAUUUCUAAGGUGACAAGGAUUAGAGUAGCCGAGGUAUGGAGCGUCGCCUAGUAUCGCGUAGAUAGAGUCGGGUUGUGCUCUGAUACCUAACACCGGGGAUGAACGCUUUAUUUCAUGUUAUGAAUUGUUUGUUUUGAAGAUUUUAAAAUUGUUGAGUACCCUUCUGACUAUGUUGGGAAGAUGUUAUUCUAAAUUGUAUGAGAUGAUGAUUUCUUUGUGUUGGCUUAUUUCCGCUGCAUUAAUAGAGAAAAGUUAAAUUCUAUGGUAUUUUAUGUCGGUUCAUCCGAUCAUUUGUGUUAUGUAUCUUUGAUUUCAAAUCUGAGCAAUAAUUGUUUGAUGUUUCGAUGUAGCAUCCCAUUUAAUAAUGAUUGACAUGUUGUAUUUACUCUGAUUAUCUAUUUAGUUAUACGAUGGGGAAAUGGGGUGUUACAUGCUUUCCUCACUUUGAAUCUCACUUUAGUAUCAGAGUAUCUUGCAGGUACACCCCUUCUCUUCUGGACCGACCACAAUUCGAGUGUUGAAGGCCACUGAAGAUCCUUCUAAUCGAGUUUGGAUCAAUACCUAACAGGACAUCCAAGUCUCCAUGUUAUUGUAGAAGAAACACACACUUAUACUUUUUUUUCUGGACAACAUAUAUUAUUAGUUACAAUAUGUUUUCUAUU